rnacentral:rRNA from 1 species
GAUGAACGCUGGCGGCGUGCCUAAUACAUGCAAGUCGAGCGAAUGGAUUAAGAGCUUGCUCUUAUGAAGUUAGCGGCGGACGGGUGAGUAACACGUGGGUAACCUGCCCAUAAGACUGGGAUAACUCCGGGAAACCGGGGCUAAUACCGGAUAGCAUUUUGAACCGCAUGGUUCGAAAUUGAAAGGCGGCUUCGGCUGUCACUUAUGGAUGGACCCGCGUCGCAUUAGCUAGUUGGUGAGGUAACGGCUCACCAAGGCAACGAUGCGUAGCCGACCUGAGAGGGUGAUCGGCCACCAUGGGACUGAGACACGGCCCAGACUCCUACGGGAGGCAGCAGUAGGGAAUCUUCCGCAAUGGACGAAAGUCUGACGGAGCAACGCCGCGUGAGUGAUGAAGGCUUUCGGGUCGUAAAACUCUGUUGUUAGGGAAGAACAAGUGCUAGUUGAAUAAGCUGGCACCUUGACGGUACCUAACCAGAAAGCCACGGCUAACUACGUGCCAGCCGCCGCGGUAA